GAUGAACGCUGGCGGCGUGCUUAACACAUGCAAGUCGAACGAAGCAAUAUUACAGAAACCUUCGGGUGGAAGAAAUAUUGACUGAGUGGCGGACGGGUGAGUAACGCGUGGGUAACCUGCCUCAUACAGGGGGAUAACAGUCAGAAAUGGCUGCUAAUACCGCAUAAGCGCACGAGAUCGCAUGGUCUAGUGUGAAAAGCUCCGGCAGUAUGAGAUGGACCCGCGUCUGAUUAGCUAGUUGGUAAGGUAACGGCUUACCAAGGCGACGAUCAGUAGCCGGCCUGAGAGGGCGAUCGGCCACAUUGGGACUGAGACACGGCCCAAACUCCUACGGGAGGCAGCAGUGGGGAAUAUUGCACAA
rnacentral:rRNA from 1 species